UACGUAGGUGGCGAGCGUUAUCCGGAAUUACUGGGCGUAAAGCGCACGUAGGCGGCCAUUUAAGUCUGACGUGAAAGCUCCUGGCUUAACUGGGAGAGGUCGUUGGAGACUGGGUGGCUUGAGGCGAUGAGAGGGGCGUAGAAUUCCCGGUGUAGUGGUGGAAUGCGUAGAUAUCGGGAGGAAUACCAGUGGCGAAAGCGGCGUCCUAGCAUCGGCCUGACGUUCAUGUGCGAAAGCGUGGGGAGCGAACGGGAUUAGAUACCCCGGUAGUCCACGCGGUAAACGAUGAACACUAGGUGUGGGGAGUGUUAAAACUGUCCGUGCCGAAGCCAACGCGUUAAGUGUUCCGCCUGGGGAGUACGGCCGCAAGGCUAAA
rnacentral:rRNA from 1 species